UCCUCCUUUCUGAAGAACUGUAAUGCCAUUAAUUUGGUGUUGCAGGGAAACAGGACUGUUACUUUGAAAAAAUUAGAGUGUUUAAAGCAGGCUAACGCUUGAAUACAUUAGCAUGGAAUAAUGAAAUAGGACGUUUGAUCCUAUUUUGUUGGUUUCUAGGAUUGACGUAAUGAUUAAUAGGGAUAGUUGGGGGCAUUAGUAUUCAAUUGUCAGAGGUGAAAUUCUUGGAUUUAUUGAAGACUGACUACUGCGAAAGCAUUUGCCAAGGAUGUUUUCAUUAAUCAAGAACGAAAGUUAGGGGAUCGAAAACAAUCAAAUACCGUCGUAGUCUUAACCAUAAACUAUGCCGACUAGGGAUCGGAUGAUGUUAAUUUUUUA
rnacentral:rRNA from 1 species